rnacentral:tRNA from 1 species
GUCUACGUAGCUCAGCUGGAUAGAGCACACGCCUUCUAAGCGUGCGGUCCUGGGUUCGAAUCCCCGCGUGGACGCCA